AACGCGAAGAACCUUACCUGGGCUAGACAACAGUGGACCGCCAUAGAGAUAUGGCUUUCCCUUCGGGGACCGCUGGUUCAGGUGCUGCAUGGCUGUCGUCAGCUCGUGUCGUGAGAUGUUGGGUUAAGUCCCGCAACGAGCGCAACCCUUAUCCCUAGUUGCCAUCGGGUCAAGCCGGGCACUCUAGUGAAACUGCCUCGGAUAACGAGGAGGAAGGUGGGGAUGACGUCAAGUCCUCAUGGCCUUUAUGUCCAGGGCUACACACGUGCUACAAUGGUCGGUACAAACCGUCGCAAACCCGUGAGGGGGAGCUAAUCGGAAAAAGCCGGCCUCAGUUCGGAUUGGAGUCUGCAACUCGACUCCAUGAAGCUGGAAUCGCUAGUAAUCGCGGAUCAGAACGCCGCGGUGAAUACGUUCCCGGGCCUUGUACACACCGGUACUA
rnacentral:rRNA from 1 species